rnacentral:other from 2 species
AUUUCUCUGAGAUGUUCGCAAGCGGGCCAGUCCCCUGAGCCGAUAUUUCAUACCACAAGAAUGUGGCGCUCCACGGUUGGUGAGCAUGCUCGGUCCGUCCGAGAAGCCUUAAAACUGCGACGACACAUUCACCUUGAACCAAGGGUUCAAGGGUUACAGCCUGCGGCGGCAUCUCGGAGAUUCC